rnacentral:rRNA from 1 species
ACGUAGGAGGCGAGCGUUAUCCGGAUUCACUGGGCGUAAAGCGCAUGUAGGCGGCUCGACAAGUCGUGUGUGUAAGCCCCCGGCUCAACCGGGGGAGGUCAUGCGAGACUGUCGGACUUGAGGGCAGCAGAGGAGCGUGGAACUCCCGGUGUAGCGGUGGAAUGCGUAGAGAUCGGGAAGAACACCAGUGGCGAAGGCGGCGCUCUGGGCUUCGACUGACGCUGAGAUGCGAAAGUGUGGGGAGCAAACGGGA